UUCCCCUAGUAACGGCGAGUGAAGCGGGAAGAGCUCAAAUUUGUAAUCUGGCGGUCUAUGGCCGUCCGAGUUGUAGUCUGGAGAAGCGUUAUCCGCGUCGGACCGUGUACAAGUCCCUUGGAACAGGGCGUCAUAGAGGGUGAGAAUCCCGUCUUUGACACGGACCGCCGAUGCUGUGUGAUGCGCUCUCAAAGAGUCGAGUUGUUUGGGAAUGCAGCUCAGAGUGGGUGGUAAACUCCAUCUAAAGCUAAAUAUUGGCGAAAGACCGAUAGCGAACAAGUACCGUGAGGGAAAGAUGAAAAGCACUUUGGAAAGAGAGUUAAACAGUACGUGAAAUUGUUGAAAGGGAAACGCUUGAAGUCAGUCGCGUCUUUGAGGACUCAGCCAGGCUUCUGCCUGGUGCAUUUCCUCGGGUGACGGGCCAGCAUCGAUUUCGAUCGACGGAGAAGGGCGAGGGGAAUGUGGCACCCUUUGGGUGUGUUAUAGCCCCUCGUCGUAUGCGUCGGUUGGGAUCGAGGACCGCAGCGUGCCCUUAACCGGGUCGGGGUUCGCCCACGUAACGCGCUUAGGAUGCUGGCGUAAUGGCUUUAAGCGACCCGUCUUGAAACACGGACCAAGGAGUCUAACAUGCCUGCGAGUGUUUGGGUGGAAAACCCAGGCGCGUAAUGAAAGUGAAAGGUUGGGACCUCUGUCGUGGAGGGCACCGACGCCCGGACCAGACCUUCUGUGACGGUUCCGAGGUAGAGCAUGUAUGUUGGGACCCGAAAGAUGGUGAACUAUGCCUGAGUAGGGUGAAGCCAGAGGAAACUCUGGUGGAGGCUCGUAGCGAUUCUGACGUGCAAAUCGAUCGUCGAACUUGGGUAUAGGGGCGAAAG
rnacentral:rRNA from 1 species